GUACACGCUGUGACUAGCAUAUCAAUAAGCGGAGGAAAAGAAACUAACAAGGAUUCCCUCAGUAACGGCGAGUGAAGCGGGAAGAGCUCAAAUUUGAAAUCUUGAAAGGUCACCUUUCACGAAUUGUAGUUUAAAGAAGUGUUUUCUGUUACGAUCGUAAUAUAAGUUCUUUGGAAUAGGACAUCACAGAGGGUGAGAAUCCCGUCUAUGAUUGCGAUUUGUAGCUUUGUGAUACACUUUCAAAGAGUCGGGUUGUUUGGGAAUGCAGCCCAAAACGGGAGGUAAAUUUCUUCUAAGGCUAAAUAUUGGCGAGAGACCGAUAGCGAACAAGUACCGCUGAGGGAAAGAUGAAAAGAACUUUGAAAAGAGAGUUAAAUAGUACGUGAAGUUGUCAAAAGGGAAGCGUUUAACACCAGUGUUGUUUUCUGAAAAUCAACCUCUGUUAGCUUUAUGCAUGUUUGUUUAGACCUAAUCAGCUAUCUUGCAUGUUCUAUUGUUUGCAGUGGUGCACUUUUCAGUUUACAGGUCAACAUCAGUUUUUUUUACCGUAAAAAAGUUAAAGAAAGGUAGCUCAUGGCUCCGGUCGUGAGUGUUAUAGUCUUUUUCCUUAUUGCGGUAGGAGAGACUGAGGUCUGCAGUGUAGGCUAUUUGGCUAGAUACUCAGGUGCUAUGUGAUACCAUUUCAUAAACAACUUGUUGAUUAUGUUUUGUCUAUUGCAUACUCGCUUGUACUAUCAUACCUACGCUUAGGAUGUUGAGUAGCGACAUACGCAC
rnacentral:rRNA from 1 species